rnacentral:rRNA from 1 species
GACGAACGCUGGCGGCGUGCUUAACACAUGCAAGUCGAACGGGAAGGCCCUGCUUUUGUGGGGUGCUCGAGUGGCGAACGGGUGAGUAACACGUGAGUAACCUGCCCUUGACUUUGGGAUAACUUCAGGAGACUGGGGCUAAUACCGGAUAGGAGCUCCUGCUGCAUGGUGGGGGUUGGAAAGUUUCGGCGGUUGGGGAUGGACUCGCGGCUUAUCAGCUUGUUGGUGGGGUAGUGGCUUACCAAGGCUUUGACGGGUAGCCGGCCUGAGAGGGUGACCGGCCACAUUGGGACUGAGAUACGGCCCAGACUCCUACGGGAGGCAGCAGUGGGGAAUAUUGCACAAUGGGCGGAAGCCUGAUGCAGCAACGCCGCGUGCGGGAUGACGGCCUUCGGGUUGUAAACCGCUUUCGCCUGUGACGAAGCGUGAGUGACGGUAAUGGGUAAAGAAGCACCGGCUAACUACGUG